GCCGGCUUAGCUCAACUGGUAGAGCAACUGACUUGUAAUCAGUAGGUUGAGGGUUCAAGUCCUUUAGCCGGCACCA
rnacentral:tRNA from 4 species